rnacentral:lncRNA from 1 species
AAGAAGCUUCAGUUGAGGAAAUGCCUCCAUGAGCUCCAACUGUAUCCUAUAAUAGGCUGAUGAGAAAAUCAAGAAUAAAAACUGAUGAGAGAUGACAUCACAUAUGCAAAUAGGCGACAUGAUAAGGAGUGGCUACCCUGUCAUAUCAUGUCCCCUGGAGGAAUGUGUCUCAAGCUUCUCAAGGUCCCAGAUGCCAUCCUUUUCUACAAGGAGCUGCCACAAGCUUCUGGGAUAUCUCCAUCUUGGCCUACUGAUGGCAGUCCCUGUCAUGGAGCUGACCUGUGAACAUGGCAUAAAAUAACUGCAUAGGAAGUCAGAAGACCAAGAAAACAAAGGAGGGGGGAGAAAAGAGAACAUGAAGUUUGGUGGGUAGAGCAAUGAGGAAGAUCUAGGAAGAGUUGAGAAGGGAGCUGACCUGUGAACAUGGCAUAAAAUAACUGCAUAGGAAGUCAGAAGACCAAGAAAGCACACAAGGGUAAGCAGGCCACUAUUGAAGAUCAUAAGGAUCUCGACUGCAAAGGUGUCUGUACAGGCUAGCUUGAUGACCUGUGGGACAUCACAGAAGAAAUUAUCUAGAUGAUUUGGACCACAGAAGGGCAAGCGGAGGAUGAGGACAACCUGAAUAAUGGAGUGAAUAAAUCCUCCAAGCCAGGGAGCCAACAACAUCACAUAGCAGACUCUGGGAUUCAUGACAGUGGAGUAAUACAAAGGCCUGCAGAUGGCAAUGUAGCGGUCAAAGGCCAUUACAACCAGUAGUAAAAAUUCCCCUCCUCCAAGGAAGUGCAAAAAAAAUAGCUGAGUGAUGCAGGCUUUGUAGGAGAUUAUCUUCUUCUCAGAGAAGAUGUCUAUCAACAUCCUAGGAGCCACAAUGAAGGAGUAGGAGGCAUCCAGGAAGGCCAAAUUUCCCAGGAAUAAAUAAAGAGGGGCAGUAAGUCCAGGGUCUGAUAUGAUGGUGAGGAUGAUGAAGACAUUUCCAGGCAAAAUGAUGAUGUAGAAAAUUAAGCUCAGAACAAAGACCAAGCGUUGAAUGUCAAGUGACUCUGUCAGUCCUGUGAAGAUGAAUUCUGUGACAACUGUCCUGUUUUCUGUCUCCAUCGCCAGUCCCUAUACAACAUCAACAAAUAAAACAAUUCUUUAUGCCUCUUCUAAAGGCAUACUUUGACAGUCCAGGUGAUGAGGUGUCACUCAAUAUUCAGGAAUCAGAAGUGUAGUCUGUGUCAUUGCAUCCCUAGAAAAGAAGUCAUGUUGAGCACAGAAGAUGAAGGAAGUUCAAUAUAAGAAAAAACAAGUUUAAGGCAAACAAUCAACAUAAAUGUACCACCACUCCACCUUGAGAUACACUGGGCCAGGCAUGAAUUAUUUCCUAAACUAAGAAAUGUAC